UGGAUGGAAGGAAUAUUAAUUUCCAAAAACAUAAAUGAAAUCUCCGAAUACUGAUAGAACAAACUCAAAAGUGAAAUCACGUUCACGGCUAAUCACAGUCGCUAUUUAGGAAAUACAGUUUUUGGGGUUUCAACAAUUGUCAUUCUACUGUUCUUUUGGUUGGAUUUGAUUCAGAAAAUUGGGAAGUUUUAAGAGGAACGGAAAAGGCAAGAGAUGAUUCUGCUCAGGGAACAGCUGGUGACCUAAUUUUAACGCUUUCUGGUGUAUUAUGUUAUAUCCAGCCUGAGAAUUUGCAAGUAUUGACAAGAUAAGCAUAUAGUACCAGAUGGCAUUGUGUUCUAUAUACAAGUAUGGUUCGAAAGCUCAGGGGUUGGCAUUUCUUGCAUUUGGGUCAAUUUCCUUUUUGCUGUUUGUUUAUGCUGCUAUUGUGUCCAAGUUACUUCCGCCAUUUGAUAACCCCAUCCUUGCAGCCAUCCAAAAUGACCGAUACUAUUGCUUUCUGGUUCCUUUAACACUUCCCAUCCUUGUUGUCAAAAUAUAUUUCCAUUGGCUCAGUAUGAAGAUCUUUAAGCAUGCGUAGCUCAGACGAGGAAAGAAGGUACCGACUGUCAUCAUCAAAACCCUUCAAGAAAGCUCAGUAAUUUAACAUGACAGAAUCUCACUCUGUGAAAGAGGUUCAUGAGAUUUUUCCCUUCUAACUAUAUACAUCAUAGAUUUUUGAAAAUGCUGUAGCCUAGCAUACUUUUGACCGCGAUAUGUGAAACUCAAAGCAACUUAGGAUCUUGCUUCUGUUCAAUACCAGUUUGAAUAGCUGGUAAGUCAUGUAAUUGAGAGAAACACGGAGUUACUGUAGUUUUUCUUCCUGAGUUACUGAGCUCAAAAUUUUCAUGCAUCUCUUAAUUUAGUUGACAUUUACUACAAAAUUUACUUGUAUCUGCUAUUGACCUCCAUUCAGCUGCGUUUGUCUAUUCACAACUCUCUGUAGAUGUCAGUUUAUUAUGGUUAUUGUGUUGGAACUCAGAGUACAUGUUGUGAAGCUGCUAAUAUUAGGUGACAUUUUCGAUAA